GUCCCGGGCGCCAGCGGACCCCGCACCAGCGCCCCCAGAUGGGGGACGCCUGCCUGCCCCCACCGGGGGCUUCCUGUAGAUGGUGACAAAUACAAGAGCAUCUGUAGGGCCUGGGAGAGCUGGGGCUCCGCCCACCCGGUCCCCAGGGGCACACAUGGGCCUCCCCCAAGGGCUCUGGGCUGGGAGCAGCACAGAGCUCGGGCUUCAGCCUCCAGGUGUGGUGGAGAAGGGGACAAGAGAACAGAGCCACGGCCACGCCCUGUGGCUUUGGAAGAGUGGCCCACUGAGAGAGGCCCCCAAGAAGCAGCAGCAGCCGGCAGCCAGCAGCCACCAUGUCUGACGAGGAAGUUGAACACGUUGAGGAGCAGUAUGAAGAGGAAGAAGAGGCCCAGGAGGAAGCUCCCAGCCCUGCAGAAGUCCAUGAGCCAGCCCCCGAAGUUCAUGUACCAGAGGAAGUCCACGAAGACGCCCUCGAGGACGUGCGGGAGGAGGAGGAGGAAGAAGAGAAGCCAAGACCCAAGUGAGUACCAGCGUGGCCCAGGGCUGGGGUGCGAGGGGAGAAGCCCAGGUGUACAGGACGGGUGAUGCUGAGGUGGCCCAGAACACUGACUGGGGAGGCCCAGGGCAAGCCAGGAGGGCUUCCUGCAAGAGGAGGCUACAGCCAAAGCGAGGAGGGGUCCAGCAGGGUGGGUGUCAGCGGGAGGAAGGAAGAGGCGGGAGCAGAGGAGAGGUCGGAGGUGUUGCCUCUCUGGACCCCACUCCGUGAGCCCCAGUACUGGUGGUAGGGGUGGGGGUCUCCCAGGGCUCUGAGUGUGCAAGUGAACAUGGAAGGAGCUGCCUGGGUGGGGUGGGGGCUCUUGGGGGGGCCCCUGAGCCCCUUCUCGGGGGUCUCUCAGAGAUGGAUUUUGGAACGCAGCUUCCCCUGGUGCCGGUUGUGGGAAGGACCUGGGGGCCCCGGCUGGUGCGCCCCAGGGGCUCCUGGGAGAGCGGCUGCCGUGUUUGCACUUUACAGAACGUGGGGCCGGCUCCCAAGAUAUUUUCUCAUUUUAGAAAAAUUGUUUGUGUUUUCAUUAUGAAAAUAAAACACCUCAUUAAGGGAAAUUUGGAAAAUAC
rnacentral:lncRNA from 1 species